GAAGUGCUGGGUAUGGACAUUCCAUCGUGAGGAGGGGCCCUGUGACUGCAGAUACUCAAUGCCUUCCAAGUGCGCUGGUGCCACCUUCAAGUGACACUUCUCAGAGUGUCACCCAGUGGCCCAGAGGCUCCCUAGUGUGUAGUCCACCCUCACUUAGACACGGCGGCCUGUACCUGACAUCCACACUCCCCACCUGCUGCCACCCACAGGAGCAUUUCAGGGCAUCACGAAUUGGUGGCUUUUCUUUCCAGUUCAACAGGCAUCUCCCAAGUCACCUGUGAUGAUUGCUUUUAUAUGUCCACGUGGCCACACUCAUCUAGACAUUGCUCUGAAGGUAUUGUGGUUGUGGUUAAUCUCUAUCAUCAGUUGACCUUAGGUGGAGGAGGUGACCUUUGAUGAUGUGAGUGAGCCCUGUCUAAGCAGGUGAAGGCAUUGAGAGCAAAACCUGAGGUUUCCCAGAAAAGGAGAAAUUUUGCCUCAAGGCUGCAGCUUCAGCUCCUGAUUUCAGACCUGCUGGCCCCACAAUCACUUGAGCCGAUUUAAAAAAUCUAUCCAUCAAUCAAUGUAUCCAUCCACCCAUCAACUCACCUAUUCAUACAUGUACUCAUCCUUGCAUCCAUUCAUCCCUCCCUCCUUCUUUCCCUCCUUCGUUCAUUCUUCUCCUCCCCCCCUCCCUCCCUCCCUCCCUCCCUUCUCUUCUUUCCUCCUUCUUCCCCCAAUCCCUUCCCUCCUUCCCUCCCUUCUCCCCAUCCCCAUCCACGGAUCCAUCCUAUGGACCCCAUCCUAUGUGUCCCUGAAGACCCCCGAGUGGCAUAGCAUUCGUUUGCAUGUGUGUGGCAUUGGCAGGGAAGUCUGGGCAGGGGGUGGUCAGUGCAAUGACUUGGGCCUGAAAGAAUGAGGUUUUGGUGGUGAGCUCUUCCCCUGUGGAGCUGAAUGUGCAGCCGUGUGUUUUGUUCACGGCUUCCUGCGUCUGCCCUCUAGAGGCCCACAGAAGCCUCGCACCUCCCUGGCCCGGCGUCUGCGGGUGAAUUGUCUGAGCAGGAGCACAGCGGUUUAAGCUUCAUGUUCUCCGGGCCCAGGUGAAAUACUCUCACCCCCUCUGAUGGCCACUUUCCAAUCCUGUUAUCCGCCCCCAGUCUUGUGAUUUGUCCCACAGCAAACACUCCUUCCAGGUGUGAGUUGUGCCAAGGAACACUGUUUCGUUGUCACACAUAGUACUUAGACUCAGUGAGUGAAGAGACACUUGGUCCCGGGCCCCCUUCUCUGCACACACUGCCCUGUGUGCUACAGCAUGCCAGGCAGGGUGCCAGGACCGCAGGCCCGUGAAGACCAUGGCGGCGGCUGUCUGAAGACCAGCUCACAGCAGGAGCUGCGCUGAGAUCUUCUCCUGGGUGCUCAUGCUGGGGCCCGAGGUCGUAUGGAAAAGGCUUGUCCCCCUUGCUGGAUGUCACAAGGCUCGGCCACGUGGAUAGAAGCUGCUUGGAUGACCACAUUAAGUGAAUGGCCGCAUCUGUGCACUGGCUCUGCAGCCCUGGGCAGCGACACAGAGACAGCAAGCAGAGCAUCCAUCACCAGGAUUCUCAGGCAGGUGUUACACCAGAGCUCAUGCGUGUCUGGCCCCAGGCUCUGAGCUGUGGCGCAUUCUUCUUGCACAUGCCCUGUAGGCUGGGUGAAAUGUUGUCACUGAAGGUGAGCUAGGAAGUCACAGGGCAGGUUUCACAAGAGACACAUCACAAAGACCCUGCUCAUAAAACAGGAUGUGGGAGAGAAGCCAGCCAAAACCAAGAUGGUGGCAAAAGAAACCUCUGUUCAUUAUACACUAAUUAUAAUGCAUUUGCAUAUGCUCAAUGACGUGCCUGGCAGCACCAAGACAGUUUACAGACGCCAUGACAACGUCUGGAAGUUACCCUAUGGGGUCUGAAGUGGGGAGGAAUUCUCAGUUCUUGGGGAAUUCCCUGCCUUUUUCCCAGAAAACUCAUGAAUAAUCCACCUGUUGUUCGGCAUAUAAUCAAGAAAUAACCAUAAAAAUAGCCACCCUUUUAUUCCUGUGCAGUAACCACCCAUUUAUUUCUUUACUUUCUUGAUUAACCUGAUUUCACUCUGUCCUCUUGCUCUUUUUUUUUUUUUUUGAGACAGAGUCUCGCCCUGUCACCAGGCUGGAGUGCAGUGGCAUGAACUCAGCUCACUGCAACCUCCACCUCCCGGGUUCCAGCGAUUCUCCUGCCUCAGCCUCCCGAGUAGCUGGGAUUACAGAUGUGCCCAACCACGUCCAGCUAAUCUUUGUAUUUUUAGUAGAGAUGGGAUUUCACCAUGUUGGCCAGGCUGGUCUCAAAAUCCUGACCUCAAGCAAUCCACCUGCCUCGGCCUCCCAAAGUGCUGGGAUUACAGGCGUGAGCCACUGUGCCCAGCCUGUCCUCUCACACUUGAAUUCCUUCCUGCACGAUACUAAGAACCCAUGUGACCUCCCGGGAUGAGCCCCGAUUUGGGGGUUCACCCGUGAUAAAGUAAGCUGGUGAACAGCAGGGAAGCACUCUGUGUCUGUAGCUUCCUGUGAGUAUGCAAUCAUUUCAAAAUUAAAAGUUUGUUAAAGCUAUAAAAAUUAUAAAAGAAAUUAAUAAAAAUCAUUGUCUCAAUCUUCACAACAA